UGGGGAAUAUUGGACAAUGGGCGAAAGCCUGAUCCAGCAAUGCCGCGUGAGUGAUGAAGGCCUUAGGGUUGUAAAAUCCUUUCGCCGAGGACGAUAAUGACGGUACUCGGAGAAGAAGCUCCGGCUAACUUCGUGCCAGCAGCCGCGGUAAUACGAAGGGGGCUAGCGUUGUUCGGAUUUACUGGGCGUAAAGCGCGUGUAGGCGGGUCGUUAAGUUGGGGGUGAAAUCCCGAGGCUCAACCUCGGAACUGCCUUCAAAACUGGCGACCUGGACCUAAGUAGAGGCAAGUGGAAUUGCGAGUGUAGAGGUGAAAUUCGUAGAUAUUCGCAGGAACACCAGUGGCGAAGGCGACUUGCUGGACUUAUGGUGACGCUGAGACGCGAAAGCGUGGGGAGCAAACAGGAUUAGAUACCCCCGUAGUCCCUGAGCGGGCUGGCAAGGCGCAU
rnacentral:rRNA from 1 species